AAAAAUUUAGUUAAACAAUAACAUUAGUUCGUCAAACUAAAAUUAUCUUCUUAGGUAAUUUUUA
rnacentral:tRNA from 1 species